GUGAUUGGGAAAUAAUGAUAUAUCCGUUACUAUCAGUGUCGUCCAAAGCUGGUGCCAGAAGACUCGGUAAGGCCAGAGACGCAAACGUUAGUCGUCAUAAACAGGCGUAAAGGGUUCGUAGGCAUCUUUUUAAAGCAAUUUAAAGAUAGAAUCUAAUGGAGUUUGAACCGCUAAAUGCUUUAAGUAGGGAUGAAAUAUUUAGAGAUAAGGUAGAAUGCUCAAGGCGUAAGCAGCCUCUCAUGUAAAGAUUGACGCUGAGGAACUAAGGAGAGCCCCAGGAAAAAGGAUUAGAUACCCAAGUACCCUCUCUGCCAACGAUGAAUGGUACUCAUUAGCAAAUGUUUAGUGGGAAAGUUAACACGUGAACCAUUCCGCCUUGUGAGUACGGUCGCAAAGUCUGAAAACAAAAAAAUUAGUCGGUCUUGAAGCAAACGAAGUGAAGCAUGUUAUUUA
rnacentral:rRNA from 3 species